GAUGAAGAACGCAGCGAAAUGCGAUAAGUAAUGUGAAUUGCAGAAUUCAGUGAAUCAUCGAAUCUUUGAACGCACCUUGCGCCCUUUGGCCAUUCCGAAGGGCAUGCCUGUUUGAGUAUCAUGAACACAUCAACUCUUUAUGGUUUUCCAUGAUGAGCUUGGACUUUGGGGGUUUUGCUGGCCUAUGGUCGGCUCCUCUAAAAUAAAUCAGCUUACCGGUGUUUGGUGGGUAUCAUGGGUGUGAUAACUAUCUACGCUUGUGGUUUUUCCACCAGGUAACCUUCGACAGCGGAGGUUCACUGGAGCUCAUAGAUGUCUCUCCUCAGCGAGGACAGCCCUUUGAAUGUUUGAUCUCAAAUCAGGUAGGACUACCCGCUGAACUUAAGCAUAUCAAUAAGCGGAGGA
rnacentral:misc_RNA from 1 species